AAGCGAGAAGCAAAUAUUGCAAUCAGUUUCGACCUGAUCUUAGAUAACCCUUAAUUAUCCCCGCUUU
rnacentral:tRNA from 1 species